AAAUAUUAUACAUUUUCUGGCCAAUUAUAAAUUCAAAUCUUUAACUUGAAUCAGCGGCUUAAUUCAAUUAUCGCGACAAGCCUAACCUAAUCGAAAGAGUACGCUCACGUUUCGUUCGAAGGAAUCUAACCUAGAAACGUCGACUGUUUUUUUUUCAGUGUCGAGCGAUUAUUUUAAUUUUUCAAGACUUUGGUUUUCUUGGGAUGAAGGAACGAGAGAGAGCCUAAUGAUUGUAUUUUCAUUAAAAUCCAAAGUUGAAUUGAAAUAGUUUAUCAGUCCUUAACAAUGGGGGAAAAAGGGAGGUUAUAAUUGGAAGUCAAGAGCUUAUUCCAGUCAAUUCUUCAUAAUUUUAACGAUUUAUUUGUCGCAGGUUAGCAAGAGGUGCAUACGGUUGUGCGUAAAUUACGCAAAGCGUUUCCGUUGAAGAGAAUUAAAAAACAGCCCCAAGUUAAAGUGGUAAACUCCGAGAAAAGUGGAACCUCAGAAGCACCGGAUAAAGAACAGGACGAAAAAGACGCCGAGGAAGCGUUGCGCCGUAAUAAACAGAGGCAAAAGAAGCAGAUCAUACUUCCAACUAUUAAUCUCGACGAUUAUUCAAUAAAUCCUACCGAUGACACGCACGAAGAUUUGAUCAACGCGCAGUACGACGACGGCGACAACAGCUUGGAGGAUGAAGAUGUGAUUGAUUUCAUGAGACUGACGAACGCGCAGCCAUUAUGGGUCUUACCUCUUUAUUCCCUUCUACCCGGACACAAACAAGCCAGAAUAAAUAUACAGUAUAAUAAAUUAAUUCUUAUAGAUUAACAUGGAAAACGAAGGAUUUCAAAAUGUUCAAAUGCACGAUUGUCUAAAACGUAUCGUUAUCAACUUAUUAUAAACAAGAAUUAAAUAACUUGGAAAUGAGACUAA